rnacentral:rRNA from 1 species
UACGGGGGGGGCAAGCGUUGUUCGGAAUUAUUGGGCGUAAAGAGCGUGUAGGCUGUUCGGUAAGUCUGCCGUGAAAACCUGAGGCUCAACCUCGGGCGUGCGGUGGAUACUGCCGGGCUAGAGGACGGUAGAGGCGAGUGGAAUUCCCGGUGUAGCGGUGAAAUGCGCAGAUAUUCGGCGGAACACCGAUGGCGAAGGCAGCCUUCUGGGCCAACACUGACACUCAUGCACGAAAGCGUGGGGAGCAAACAGG